AAGAAAAAAAAAUUAUGUUAAAUAUAUUACUUUUUGACAUUUCCCGUUACUUUCGUUUUGUCUUUUUUUUUUUUUU
rnacentral:ribozyme from 14 species